rnacentral:lncRNA from 13 species
CGUGCCAUGAAAUAUUUUCUUCCUGAACAAUGCAGUAUGGUCAAUGUUAAAGUGAUCGGGUGUUUACUGUUUGUAUGUGAUGGCGACACACUAUAGUUAUACCGGUGAUUCAAGAACAGAUUGGAAUAUUCCAUCUGCGACUUGCUCUCUUUGGCGAAAGGAUAUUUCUUGAUGCAUUCGACUUUAUUUGAUAAUCUAACGAGUUUGUAUGAAAAUGUCUUAGAAGUAUGGGAGAACAUACAGAGGAAUGCCAUUGAAAUGCAUGCAACUCAUGAUAAAAUUAUGCUGAGUCCUGCGGAUAGUUGGUUACAUGUAGACUCGACGCAAUUAGAAACAUAUCUAAACCAAUGGUAGAAAAACGUUAAGGAUAAAGAAUUUUAUCAAGACCUUAUGAUUCUGCAAUAAAAAAUGCAGUCGUUUGUCAAUCAAACCAGCGACGUUAAUGGCGUGCAUUUCUUAGGAGAACAAUCAAUGGAGAACAACAUGCAGGGCAUGGGGAAUGGCGCGCGAAUAGACUUCGACGCGAAUGUAUUCACUAUCCGCAGGACUCAGCAUAAUUUUAUCAUGAGUUGCUUAAAAAAAAAAAACCAGUUUAGCUAAGUGCAAGAUUCAAUAAUGUGGAAAUUAUCUGUGUACUACUUGUUAAACAGUAAUUAAAAUAUGUAAAUAACAAAU